GGCCUGGUGGUGUAGUGGUAACAUGCUUGCUUUAGUUUCCUCUGGAAUUUAAUGUCUUUAGCAGAAGAUCCUUGUUCGACCCAAGGUCAGGCCA